CACGAGCGCACCCUCAUUGCUAGUUGCACAUGUCUAGCAAGACUGCCGCGAUCAACGUGGAGGAAGGUGGGGAUGACGUCAAGUCAGCACGGCCCUUACAUCCUGGGCGACACACACGCUACAAUGGCGAGGACAACGAGUUGCCAACCCGCGAGGGGGAGCUAAUCUUGUCAAACCUCGUCUCAGUUCAGAUUGGAGGCUGCAACCCGCCUCCAUGAAGCCGGAGUUGCUAGUAACCGUGAGUCAGCACAUCACGGUGAAUACGUUCCCGGGUCUUGCACACACCGCCCGU
rnacentral:rRNA from 1 species